rnacentral:lncRNA from 1 species
GGCUCAGAUCAUAAAUGGAGCUUCCGAGCCAGAAAGGGCUUCCCUGUCUAGGUGCUUUUACUGAGAUGUCUAUUAUAAGAUACAGGUAUGGUCAUGUGACCUGUGCCUGCCUGACUCAUCACAGAUCCCCAGCUCCCUGACCAGUGAUUUGCCCAGGAAUGUGAACUCCCUCUGCCAGGUCAAUCUUUCUUCCAUGAGAUAUUUUAUGAAAAAUAGAAAUGCUGGGGGAGAUACCUUCCUUUUUCCUCUGGGUUCACUUAGCUGUGAUGAUGUAAGCCUGGAGUCAACUUUGGCUAAGUCUGCCUGACCACCCCCCACCCCCGCAAUGUGAAGAGGACAUUAGUCUACUGUAGGAGAAAAUUAGGUCAACUGCCGAGAGAGAAACCCUGCCAUGGGAUGGAAGGGGGCUGUGAGAAACAGAAAGAGAGACGUCCAUCUGAUAUGGUUUGGCUGUGUCCCCACCCAAAUCUUGAUUUGAAUUGUAUCUCCUAGAAUUCCCAUGUGUUGGGAGGGACCCAGGGGGAGGUAAUUGAAUCCUGGGGGCCGAUCUUUCCCGUGCUAUUCUAGUGAUAGUGAAUAAGUAUCACGAGAUCUGAUGGGUUUAUCAGGAGUUUCCGCUUUUGCUUCUUCCUCAUUUUCUCUUGAUGCCGUCAAGUAAGAAGUGCCUUUUGCCUCCCGCCAUGAUUCUGAGGCCUCCCCAGCCAUGUGGAACUGUAAGUAAGUCCAAUUAAACUUCUUUUUCUUCCCAGUCUUGGGUAUGUCUUUAUCAGCAGCGUGAAAACAGACUAGUACACCAUUUAAUGACAUCUUAGAGUCUCUGAGGCCAGCUUCUCCCUUGUGGUGGCCCUGUUAGGUAAGACAGCGCCUACUCUUCUAAGUUAGUCUGAAUGCACUUCCUGUCUCUUGCAGUGGAAGGAUUCCAGACAGAUGUAGGGGCAAUGUAUUUGUGAAUUUAUACCCACUGUGGUGGGGGAGCAUUUACACAUUAAGAAGGCGCCUAUAGAAGGCACAGUUAUUACAUCUUUCUUUGUCACCUGUUGUCUGAGUACCCACCACAUGGCACUUGUCACCAGGGAUACAGGGGCGACCUGGUCCCUGCACUUAUGGAGCUCACAGAUGCCAUGAUGUAACUGCUUCUUUUUUUUUUGAGAUGGGAGUCUCACUCUGCUGCCAGACUGGAGUGCAGUGGCACGAUCUUGGCUCCCUGCAACCUCCGACUCCCUGGUUCAAGCGAUUCUCCUGCCUCAGCCUCCUGAGUAGCUGGGAUUACAGGCAUGCGCCACCACACCCAGCUGAUUUUUGUAUUUUUAGUAGAGAUGGGGUUUCACCAUUUUGUUCAGGAGGGUCUUGAUCUCCUGACCUCGUGAUCCACCCGCCUCGGCCUCCCAAAGUGCUGGGAUUACAGGCGUGAGACACCACGCCCGGCCUGCUUCAUGUUUUUGCAAGGCCAGAGUGAGUGAAGAAAGGAAUGGAGGACAAUGCGGGAAGGAGGGGGAGGACUCUUUCAAAGGAGAUUCUUUGAGGAGUUCUUGGGAGGCAUAAUGAAAAUCUUCCCUGCACUGAGUUUGGGCAGGAAUGAAGGGACUAACACUCCAUUACAAAGCUUUUGGUGAAAGGAUGUGGUCCCGGUCUAUCCAUCCGCCAUCAUCUUACAUUUCCCCAGGCUGUAAGGAAGAGCCACUGAUACUUUCCUCCACUAAGAGAUGCCUCCGUCUGGAGGAUUGUGGGAAGAAAGGGUACCUAGGUGGGUUGGAAUUUCACUGGGCACUGUUCUAUUGUGAUGGCUUCACUGAGAUUGUUGGUCUUCUCUAAACUCCAGGAAUGUUCAGAGCCUUGGGCCCUCACACCCCUCAGCUGACCAGGCUCCCAGGAGCUUGCCAGUCCCGGGGACGUUCAGGCUAUUUGCUUCAUGCAUGAUACCCACACAUUCUCUCCAAAUCCCUGCUCUCCACAUGGGGAGCAGUGAUUACAUGGAGCUGGUUAAGUGGCUGCAUUUCAAAGUUCAUUUAGUUUCUUCUCCAUUCCAAGAGGCAGGGCUGGGGCCACCAGAAUCUUACAUCUCUGGCUUGGGUUUCAGCUCCCAGCCACUCUCUUUUACAGAGCCCACAAAGCGUGGACGGCCACCCAGCCUUCCCAGUUUACAUGAUCAUGGGGAGAGCCUGUCAAAAGCAACUGCACAGAGCCUGUGCUUAAGAUGGCAGGAUCGCAAGACAGAGCAACUGGAGCAAGUCCUCAUUAAGAAGAGCCGCCCGAUGCAUUUGGACUGCGAUGUGUUACGCCCAUGAGAUUUCAGGGUUAAUUUGUUACCUGGCCGUGGCCUAUCCUCUUCCAGCAGAUACAGAGGCUACUGCAGUUUGCAACUUUGCAGAUACCAGCAGAGGAAGAAAAACCUGGGAGACUGCUGCUAACCUAAUGUGGAGACUUGACUUAAACUUCAGCCAGACAAAGGCGGAAUCUUAAUAUGGAGGGGCCUGGCUCUGCAGGGAGGUCACCUGGGCUGGCUGGAUUUCAAUCCAGUUACACAGCAAAAAAGUUACAACCCAAGCUUUGGCGAUGCUGAGCCUUCUACUCUCAGGGAUUCCAAAGCAUUUGAUAAACUCUUUCUUUGUUCCAUUGUUUACUGACUUCCUAGUGCUUGUCUUGUUCUGCAGUUAUUUAUUUAUUUUUAUUUAUUAGUUUUUACUUAUGAUCUACCCCUCUCUCCCAUCUCCCCGCAACCUGAAGAUAAGUGACUGGAGCAGAAUCCACUUCUGCUGAGAAGCUCUGGAUGACCACGGAUAAGCAGGAAGGCAUGUGACAUAUUGGCAAGUGAGUCAGACAGAAAGAGAGACGUGGGAUCGAGUCCUGGCAUUGCCCUUUCUAGCUAUUGUGUCCUUGGACAGGCGCCACUCAAUGGAGUUUAAGCCAUUCUCCAUAGGCAGGGAGAUGUUGCAGCGUCCAAUG